GGGGAUACCAGUUGGAAAAGGGUGUUAAUUCCGCAUAAUGUCUAGGGACCGAAGUGUGGGACCUUCGGGCCCCAUGCUAUCGGAUGGGCCUACGUGGGAUUAGAUAGUUGGUGAGGUAAUGGCUCACCAAGGGGACGAUCUCUAGCUGUUUUGAGAGGAUGAUCAGCCCCCCUGGAGGGGAGACACGGUCCAGACUCUUACGGGAGGCAGCAGUGGGGAAUAUUGGACAAUGGGCGCAAGCCUGAUUCAAAAGGGCCGCGUGUGUGAAGAAGUCCUUCGGGUGUAUUUUUAAAGGAGCGAGAAGGAAGGGUGGUGUUUAAUAGCACAUCAUUUGACGUACUC
rnacentral:rRNA from 1 species